rnacentral:rRNA from 1 species
AACGAACGCUGGCGGCAUGCCUAACACAUGCAAGUCGAACGAAACCUCCGGGCCUUUUGGCGCACGGGUGCGUAACGCGGGGGAAGCUGCACGUAGGUUCGGAAUACCUCCCCGUAAGGGGUCUUAAUACCGGAGAAGCUCUUCGGACCUACGAUGUGUGGCCUUUGGAUGGGCACGCGUUGGAUUAGCUGGUUGGUAGGGUAAUAGCCUACCAAGGCGAGGAUCCAUAGCUGGUCGGUGAGGAUGAUUAGCUGCACUGGAGAUGAGACACGGCCCAGUAUCCUACGGAAGGGAGCAGUGGAGAGUACUAGACGAUGGGCGAAAGUGUAGUACAGCCGUGCCGGGUGAGUGGUGAAGGGGGUAGGAUAGUAAAGCUCUUUUAGCCGGGGCGAUAGUGACAGUACCGGGAGAAUAAGCUCCGGCUAACUCCGUG